rnacentral:rRNA from 1 species
CCUACGGGUGGCAGCAGUGAGGAAUAUUGGUCAAUGGGCGCGAGCCUGAACCAGCCAAGUAGCGUGAAGGAUGACUGCCCUACGGGUUGUAAACUUCUUUUAUAAAGGAGUAAAGUGAGGCACGUGUGCCUUUUUGUAUGUACUUUAUGAAUAAGGAUCGGCUAACUCCGUGCCAGCAGCCGCGGUAAUACGGAGGAUCCGAGCGUUAUCCGGAUUUAGUGGGUUUAAAGGGAGCGUAGAUGGGUUGUUAAGUCAGUUGUGAAAGUUUGCGGCUCAACCGCAAAACUGCAAUUGAUACUGGCAGGCUUGAGUACAGGUGAGGCAGGCGGAAUUCGUGGUGUAGCGGUGAAAUGCGUAGAUAUCACGAAGAACUCCGAUUGCGAAGGCAGCCUACUAAACUGCAACUGACAUUGAUGCUCGAAAGUGUGGGGAUCAAACAGGAUUAGAUACCCGAGUAGUC